CCCAAGUGCUUAGUACAGUGCUUUGUACACAGUGAGUGAAUGAAUGAAUGAAUUCAUCAUAUUUAUUGAAGCUCUUACUGUGUGCUAAACACUCUAUGAACCUGGGCUGGCUGUAAGGGAGCUGCCAUCUGCCACAGUCUCUUGUUUCAGGUGGGAGGAGAGAGUCACGAUGUAGCCGCUGCUGGAAUAUCGCCGGGCUGGACGACCUAAGCCGAUCCAAACCAGUCGAGGCCCUUGUCCUCGUUCUCAAGGGAGCUCAGGGCAGCUGCCUUCCUCUCUCCGGUUCCCCCGACGGCAUCCUCCCCUCCAGCCGGCCGAAGGCCAAACCCAGAAACGAGAGCCGACGGGCCGAAGCCCCAGCCCGAGCCGCCCCAGCUCCGCCCCAUGACGCUGGGAUGAUUUGAAGAAGAGUAAGAGUAAGUAGGAAGCGGGUUCUAGCCCGGUUUCU
rnacentral:lncRNA from 1 species